ACAUGUCGCAUGGAUUUUGUUUGAAGGUGGCUUCGAGCUAUCACUUCUGGAUGAUCCCGCGGCGUAUUAGUUAGUUGGUGAGGUAAAGGCCCACCAAGACGAUGAUACGUAGCCGACCUGAGAGGGUAAUCGGCCACAUUGGGACUGAGACACGGCCCAAACUCCUACGGGAGGCAGCAGUAGGGAAUCUUCCACAAUGGACU
rnacentral:rRNA from 1 species